rnacentral:lncRNA from 1 species
ACCUUUAAUAUUGUUCUUAUUCAAUUCUACCAUCUUUCCUAUUUACACUUAUUUACUUAUCUUGGUUAAGUUAGAGCGUAGAUCAGUUCUCCCGUUUCCCUGUGGAUACGAUAAAACCAUUAACCGGGUAAAAGCUUCAACGGUAUCCGUGCGCUUGCGAAUUAUCUGUGUGCGUAUAAAUACCAUAGUACACUCUAGUGCCAUGCUGGGGAUGACAACCUAGUAUUCAUGUGGUGUUAGCAAGUGUCAACAAGCAUUUUUGGCGCCGUUGCCGGGGAAACGGUUGCUGAGUUGACUACGAACUAGCUUAAUCAUUUUCUAAAAAAAAUAAAAAAAUUAUUUUCCUUUUAUCCUUUGCCUCAUCUCUGCUAAUUUUUCUUCUUAUCUAAUCCUUGAUCUCUGGUCUAUCAUGAAUUCAAACAUGUCUAUCUAUGAAUUUCAUAGACCUACGGGCACACAUCUCGAACCACCAAAAUCUUCAAAGCCUAUCAUAGCAUCUAGUUUUGAGAUAGACCCCGAAUACAUAGAAUUUGUUCAAAAACAACCUUUCUCAGGAGAAGGUGAGGAAAACCCAUACACACACCUA